AAGGAUUUAAGUUAAAAAAACUAGUAGCCUUCAAAGCUGUCAUUAGAGGCUUCUCUAAGCCUUA
rnacentral:tRNA from 1 species